AGAGUUUGAUCCUGGCUCAGGAUGAACGCUGGCGGCGUGCCUAACACAUGCAAGUCGAGCGAUUUACUUCGGUAAAGAGCGGCGGACGGGUGAGCAACGCGUGGGUAACCUGCCCUGUACACACGGAUAACAUACCGAAAGGUAUGCUAAUACGAGAUAAUAUGCUUUUAUCGCAUGGUAGAAGUAUCAAAGCUUUUGCGGUACAGGAUGGACCCGCGUCUGAUUAGCUAGUUGGUAAGGUAACGGCUUACCAAGGCGACGAUCAGUAGCCGACCUGAGAGGGUGAUCGGCCACAUUGGAACUGAGACACGGUCCAAACUCCUACGGGAGGCAGCAGUGGGGAAUAUUGCACAAUGGGCGAAAGCCUGAUGCAGCAACGCCGCGUGAGCGAUGAAGGCCUUCGGGUUGUAAAGCUCUGUCCUCAAGGAAGAUAAUGACGGUACUUGAGGAGGAAGCCCCGG
rnacentral:rRNA from 1 species